UUUUAAAGAAUUUAAUUUUAAGUCAAAUUUNCCCAAUGAAUUAAUUUAAAUGGCUGUAAUAUUUUAAUUACACAAAGGUAGCAUAAUAAUUUGUUUUUUAAUUAAAAACUAGAAUGAAAGAUUUAAUGAAAUAAAAACUGUUUCAAAUAAUUUAUUAUUAAAUUUUUUUUUUAAGUAAAAAAACUUAAAUUUUUUAUAAAGACGAUAAGACCCUAUAGAAUUUAAUUUUUUUUUUAAAAAAAAUUCUUUUUAUAAAAAAAUUUAAUUGGGGUAAUUAAAAAAUUAAAAUAAUUUUUUUUAAAAUUAACAAUAAUUAUUGAUUAUAUUAUCUUAAUUUUUAAAUUAAAAAAAUUAAUUACCUUAGGGAUAACAGCAUAAUUUUUUUNGAAAGUUCUUAUUAA
rnacentral:rRNA from 1 species